GUGCACCACGCCCGCUCCACUCCAUCGACGUCCACAUGGAUGGCCGCACGCAAUAGCACCCUCCUCCGGCCUAUAAAAGGCAACGCUGAGCUGCUCUCCUCCACCAUCCCAAGCUCGCCGAGCCGCCCAGCUUCGCCGCUCACCUUCUCCCUCUCCAAGACGCCCCUGCCCAAGGUGAGCCUAUGCCGAGCUUCCCCAUCCACUCCUCUCUCUCCCUAUGCCCUUGCAUUUGAAAACGGCAGCCGGAAUCGUCGUUCCUGCAGAGCUCCAGGGAGCUCUGGCCGCUGGCACGGCGGACAAGCUCGAGGAGCACGAGCUCCUAUACUCCCAUGUCUGUCUCACUUCCCACUCCGUUAUUUCUUCCCAGACCCAAAACACUAAUCAAACCUAUAGCCGACCGUGUGAGCCCAAAACACCACCAGGCCAUUCACGUGCAAAUAAAGGCCCGUAAAGCACCCACCCUUUUAUGUUAAUCCAUUUUCAAAAUUUAAUUAAUACCUAAUCUUUACACAACCAUAUCUCAGCCAUCCAAAUUUUGAUUCACUUGAUUUUUUCUAAAUUCCUCUAAAAUCAUAUUCUAGCUAUUCUAGCUACCCUUCUCUCCAUUUGAGGACAUUUAAUUUUUUUUGUGUUUGUGCUUGUUUGUGUUUGUUUGUCGUUGCGCCGUCGUUGCCAUAGCCGAUGGAGUGACCAAGGUGGAGAACAACUUUGAAGGUCAGUACCGCAAGCCGAAGCCGGAAGACCCGUACCACGAGCAGAAGCUUCCAGAAGGCUUUAAGGACGGCAAGUCCAACCUAUUCCCUCUUGGUCAUAUAUAUCUUCGUUUUCAAACACGAUCUAUAGAAGCCUUUUUAUACAUUCCAUCCAAUUAUAUAUAUGCUCAGAUUAUUUUACUACUGAUCUAGUUAAAAUCCGAUUGGAUAGCCACUCCUUUAUUUGAUAUAUCUUGAUAAUACCUUGAUGUCAUAGGAUUUAUCGCUAGACAUGAUACGCUCUGUUUAGCCAAUUGCCUUAGUAUUAAUACGCUUAGGAAUCGGUUACUCAACCUCAUUACUACUUAUUUUACAACUGAAAUGGUUUACAAAAGAUACAAUGUGUUGAGUGUGUUGGUGUGAGUAUGGAUUGAUAUUUCGGAAAAGUGAUAAAUAAACAACUUGGUGUGGGUGAUUAUUUUAGAUGGUGCAGAUCAGGGUUCCCUGUGUGGGAAGCCUUGGAGUAUUGGCUCGUGCCUGUGUUGCUGAGUAUGGAAGAUAUCCACCUUGUCUUGAUUAAGGAUCGAGUUGAUGUGUCAUCUUACCUAACCCAACUUAUCGUACAACCACUCAACCUUUGUAUGUGGCAAAGGCUUAGCAUAAAUCCCACUAGCUAGUCUAGUAGUCGUCCGUAGGUAGGUGCGCAAUGGGAGGCCAAGGAGCAGGCGUAAGCAAGUACUGGAUUAGUGGCCCGGUUGAAGACCUCGUAGGAAGGUCAGGAACCCCUUGGUUAGCUCUCUUGGAUGACUAGGCAGGACUAUGCUAUGGUGGUCACAUAGCUAACUAUUUGGGAAAAAUGGGCAAACCUUUUGGUGUAAAUUGGAUUUUGGAAAUAUCCGGCAAGCGUGCCGCGUGCUACCAUGGAUGGGGUGUCCAAUAGUACUUAAAAUUUGGAUCCUUUGUGCAGGAUCACCCCACUCUUUCAUAACUACCGUAAUAUGAGAAGUAUGUGUUUUGCAAAAACCGUUUUAUAAAACUAAACCUUGCAUAUGUACAAAAGAUUGCUUUCUGCAAAAUAAAUCUUAGCGUAUUCCUUGAAUUAUCCUUAUGCAUAUAUUUUUAUACCCCUUCCAUAGGGUGGGGUUGGAUUUGCCGAGUACGUAUGUUCUCACCCUUAUUUUGUUGAUAUAGAGGAAGGCCUGGACUACGUCGCCGGUGAAGCUUUCGAGUAGAAGGUCGCCUCUGCACCCAACUUGCCUAUGGCGUUGGGCUCUUAAGGAUGUUUCCGCUGUUGUGCAGUGCUGCGUGCUGCUUAUGGACUUAGAUGUCCAUAGGUUGCAUCUACAGCCUGUUUGUGUUGUAUCUCUUUUGGGUCUAUGUUACCGGACCGCUCCCUAGAGAGUUGUACGACUUUUGAACUAUCUGUUGAAUAAAUGUGUGUACCAGCCUUCCUGAGAUUGGUAUUUGUAUCACAUUUAGUCCUUAUACAA
rnacentral:lncRNA from 1 species